rnacentral:rRNA from 1 species
AAAAGAAAAUAACAAUGAUUCCCUCAGUAACGGCGAGCGAAGAGGGAUAAGCUCAAAUUUUAAAUCUGUUGGGUUUCACCUAACAGAGUUGUAUUUUGAAGAAACGUUUUCUGCGUCCAGGAUUAGCCUAAAUCCUUUGGGAUAAGGUAUCAUGGAGGGUGAGAAUCCCGUUCAUGGUUAAUCUUAAGGAUGCUCUACGAUACGUUCUCCAAGAGUCGAGUUGUUUGGGAUUGCAGCUCAAAAUGGGAGGUAAAUUUCUCCUAAGGCUAAAUAUUGGCGAGAGACCGAUAGCGAACAAGUACCGUGAGGGAAAGAUGAAAAGAACUUUGAAAAGAGAGUUAAACAGUACGUGAAAUUGUUGAAAGGGAAACGAUUGAAGUCAGUCAUACUAACGGGAAAUCAACCUCUUGAGUUUGGUCUCGUGGGUUUCGAAAAGUUUUAAAACCCUCCGAAUUUCCAAAAUGGGGUCUUCUGGUGUACUUUCUCGUACGGUUAGUCAACAUCGGUUUUGAAUGUCAUAAAAUGACUGGAGGAAUGUGGCUUCGAUCUCGUAUUGAAGUGUUAUAUCCUUUGGUAGAUGUGAUGUUGAGACCGAGGAUUGCAACGGAUACCCUUCUGGGCUAUUCGUCUGAUCUCUGAAACGUUGCCUUGAUGUCGAAAGCUUGCUUAUGAUGUUAAGGUAUUACGGUCAAAAGGUUAGAACGGAUUAAAUCCCUUAAGGAUGUUGACGU